rnacentral:rRNA from 1 species
GAUGAACGCUGGCGGCGUGCCUAAUACAUGCAAGUCGAGCGAACAGACGAGGAGCUUGCUCCUCUGACGUUAGCGGCGGACGGGUGAGUAACACGUGGAUAACCUACCUAUAAGACUGGGAUAACUUCGGGAAACCGGAGCUAAUACCGGAUAAUAUAUUGAACCGCAUGGUUCAAUAGUGAAAGACGGUUUUGCUGUCACUUAUAGAUGGUUCCGCGCCGCAUUAGCUAGUUGGUAAGGUAACGGCUUACCAAGGCAACGAUGCGUAGCCGACCGGAGAGGGUGAGCGGCCACAUUGAAACUGAGACACGGUCCAGCCUCCAACGGGAGGCAGCAGUGGGGAAUCUUCCGCAAUGGGCGAAAGCCUGACGGAGCAACGCCGCGGGAGUGAUGAAGGGCUGCGGUUCGUAAAACUCUGUUAUUAGGGAAGAACAAAUGUGUAAGUAACUAUGCACGUCUUGACGGUACCUAAGCAGAAAGCCACGGCUACCUACGU